GAGAGGAAAAAAGUCUUUUUCUAAAAAGCCAUGCUACUCCAGACCGAUGACGAACAAGACUCAGAAACAUGCCUCUGGAUGCAGGCUUAGCUGGGUGGGGGUGAUUGUCUCCCCCUUGUAAACAUAAGGACACAGGAAAUGUGUCAAGGCCAACAGGAAGCGUUGAUGCUUCCUAGGGCUAAAUAGCGGUGAGGU